ACCCUCGUCACAAGAGACAGAGGUGCAUGUUGUAUAAUUGCGUGAAUUUUUUAAUGUUUAAUUUCAUGUAAGUUUCAUGUAAUAAAUUGUACAAGUUUUAUUGUAUAUAUGAAUUCCAUAUAUACAUAUUUAUAAUUUAAUGUAUGGUUUCAUGUGUAUAUUUCAAUCAUGUGUAUACUUAGUAGAUUGCCAAUUUUCUUUUUCUAGUAGACAAGGGUUGAUGUAUAAUUACGUGUAUAUGUUUAUUGUACGGGCAAUUAGGACAAGUUUUGUAUAAAUUUCCUUUAUUUCAUGGUUGUUGUAUGGUUUCAUGUAUAUUCAUUUAUUGUACUACUUGAGACAAUUUUUAAUUUAAUGUUUCUAUGAUUAGAUGUGUGUAAAACUAAUUGUAUUAUUAGUUAAGAUGGGAGCCAAAGAGGAUGAAAGGUAUAUAAUGGAGCAGAUUAUUGCUGGCGGUAGUGGCUCAAACGUUGCAAGAACCUACACCGAGGGUGAGGGGAGCUAGGUGGACAUGUACCUCAACAUCUCCAGUGAUGGCAAUGACGAUGAGGAGCACGAGCAUGAUGUUUAUGAUAGUGCAGAACAAGACAUUGCAGAAUUGGAAGGUUCUAAUGAGGUGUGCUUCAUGUUGACGAUCUGGUUGGCUUUUUUUCUUUGGUCACACCUUAGUUACGAUAGAACUUCGUCUCGGGAGAAGAU
rnacentral:lncRNA from 1 species